rnacentral:ncRNA from 1 species
CAAACUUUAAAUGGGCAGAUCCAGUAGUACUUAAUUGAACUAUUGGGGUCAAUGAGACGACUCUAAGUGGGCCAUUUUUGGUAAGCAGAACUGGCGAUGAGGGAUGAACCUAACGCUCGGUUAAGGUGCUAAACUGCUCGCUCAUCAGAUACCACAAAGGGUGUUGGUCGAUCUUAACAGCAGGACGGUGGUCAUGGAAGUCGAAAUCCGCUAAGGAGUGUGUAACAACUCACCUGCCGAAUCGACUAGCCCCGAAAAUGGAUAGCGCUGAAGCGAGUGACCGAUACCGGGCCAUUGUUGCAAGAUAAUUGGCAACAAUGAGUAGGAGGGCGUGGGGGUUGUGAAGAAGCUUGGACGUGAGUCUGAGUGAAACAGCUUCCAGUGCAGAUCUUGGUGGUAGUAGCAAGUAUUCAAUAAGAGAACAUUGAAGGCCGAAGUGGGGAAGGGUUCCAUGUGAACAGCACUUGGACAUGGGUUAGCCGAUCCUGAGAGACAGGUUAAAUUCCAUCGGAUUGGAGCUUUGGCUCUGUUUCUCGAAAGGGAAGCUGGUUAGUAUUCCAGCGCCGAGACGUGGAUAAUAUGUGGCAACACAAGUGAACUCGGACACGCCAUAGGGGACCCCAGGAAGCGUUGUCUUUUCUUUUUAACAGUUCGACUUACCCUGGAAUCAGAUCAUCUGGAGAUAGGGUUUUCGAACUGGAAUAGCACCUUGUCUAACAGGGUGUCUGGAGUGUUCUCGCUGGCCCUUGAAAAUCCGAGGGAUAGAUUUAUUCGCACUCUCGAUCGUACCCAUAACCGCAUCAGGUCUCCAAGGUUAGAAGCCUCUGGUCCGUAGGACAAAGUAGAUAAGGGAAGUCGGCAAAAUAGGUCCGUAACUUCGGGAAAAGGACUGGCUCUGAGGUUUGGUAUGUGGAACCUGGAUUAAUCGUUGGAGUCGAGCAGAGACUACUUGUUGCUCACGUGACUUGUGGACUCCUUGCUUGAUACCUUCAAUUGAUCCAGGCUGCUUCGGCGCUCUGCAUGCACUAACAAACAGCUCAGA